rnacentral:rRNA from 1 species
GAGAGAUGAGAAAGGACAGUAUCUCAGGAAUAAGUCUCGGCUAACUACGUGCCAGCAGCCGCGGUAAAACGUAGGAGGCAAGCGUUAUCCGGAUUCACUGGGCGUAAAGCGCGUGCAGGCGGUGCGGUAAGUUGGGCGUGAAAUCUCCCGGCUCAACUGGGAGAGGUCGUCCAAUACUACCGUACUUGAGAGCAGAAGAGGAAAAUGGAAUUCCCGGUGUAGUGGUGAAAUGCGUAGAUAUCGGGAGGAACACCAGUGGCGAAGGCGAUUUUCUGGUCUGUUUCUGACGCUCAGACGCGACAGCUAGGGUAGUAAACGGGAUUAGAGACCCCGGUAAUCCUAGCCGUAAACGAUGUGAACUUGGCGUUGGUGGGUUAAACUCCAUCAGUGCCGCAGCAAACGCGAUAAGUUCACCGCCUGGGGACUACGGCCGCAAGGUUAAAACUCAAAGGAAUU